AUUUUAAUCAUGCGAAUGGAAAAACUCCUACAUAAACAAAUACAUGGGCGCAGACAUUUUGGACACCCAAAGUUGUGCGGAGAAGAAAAUGCUACCUGGCACGUGAUUGGUCAUUAAGAGAAAAGACUAGUUAUGUAUUUGACAAGUGAAAUAAAGAUGAUAAAAAUCUCAUAUCAAGACUUAGGUUCCUUUGAGAUAUAUAGGAGUUACAGGUAAAAGUUUGAAGGGAGGGAUGCACUUUGGUUAGAGAUUUUCAUUUGGUGCUGAACGCACCUAGUUGUAAACAAAUGGAAUUUGAAAGUAAAAGUGCCGCGGCACGGUAUAUUUUUUCUGGCAUGUUUUGUUUUACAAGAUCUCGAACUUUCACGGCAAGAAAGUCAUUUGCCCAAAAUUCAAUAUAUGUAUCAGUGACAGGGGCUCAACUUUGUAUGGAAGUCUAUGGGAAAACAUUUGGUGGUGUUUGUCCUAUAGAGUAGCAAUGCAUUCUCAAGAAGGAGGAGAUUAAUGAACCCUCCCCUCUUACAAGGAACAACACAUGGACACUCUCAGGAUGAACCCUUUGCAUUCAUUAACAGUUCCAAGAUAUAGGUCUGAUUGACCGGGGUGUAAAAUGUAACAGCCAGUGGUGUACUUCAGCUAGAACUGUCAGUCCCAAUAUUCAUGAGGAAAAACUCCUACAUAAACAAAUACAUGGGCGCAGACAUUUUGGACACCCAAAGUUGUGCGGAGAAGAAAAUGCUACCUGGCACGUGAUUGGUCAUUAAGAGAAAAGACUAGUUAUGUAUUUGACAAGUGAAAUAAAGAUGAUAAAAAUCUCA